CCAGACUCCUACGGGAGGCAGCAGUGGGGAAUAUUGGGCAAUGGGCGCAAGCCUGACCCAGCAACGCCGCGUGAAGGAAGAAGGCUUUCGGGUUGUAAACUUCUUUUCUCAGGGACGAAGAAAGUGACGGUACCUGAGGAAUAAGCCACGGCUAACUACGUGCCAGCAGCCGCGGUAAUACGUAGGUGGCAAGCGUUAUCCGGAUUUAUUGGGUGUAAAGGGCGUGUAGGCGGGAGCGCAAGUCAGAUGUGAAAACUCAGGGCUCAACCCUGAGCCUGCAUUUGAAACUGUGUUUCUUGAGUGCUGGAGAGGCAAUCGGAAUUCCGUGUGUAGCGGUGAAAUGCGUAAAUAUAUGUAAGAACACCAGUGGCGAAGGCGGCUUGCUGGGUCGAUACUGACAUUGAGGCACGAAAGCGUGGGGAGCAAACAGGAUUAGAUACCCGAGUA
rnacentral:rRNA from 1 species